CCUACGGGUGGCAGCAGUCGAGAAUCAUUCACAAUGGUGGAAACCCUGAUGGUGCGACGCCGCGUGGGGGAAUGAAGUUCUGCGGAUUGUAAACCCCUGUCAUGUGGGAGCAAAUUAAAAAGAUAGUACCACAAGAGGAAUAGACGGCUAACCCUGUGCCAGCAGCCGCGGUAAUACAGAGGUCUCAAUCGUUGUGCCGAAUCACUGGUCGUAAAGGGUGCGUAGGCUGUUUCGUAAGUCGUGUGUGAAAGGCCAGGGCUCAACCCGCGGACGGCACAUGAUACUGGGAGACUAGAGUAAUGGAGGGGGAAGCGGAAUGCGCGGUGUAGCAGUGAAAUGCGUAGAUAUCGAGAGGAACACUCGUGGCGAAGGCGGGUUCCUGGACAUUAACUGACGCUGAGGCACGAAGGCCAGGGGAGCGAAAGGGAUUAGAUACCCGAGUAGUC
rnacentral:rRNA from 1 species